rnacentral:rRNA from 1 species
UCGGGCACGAUUCUACGGGAGGCAGCAGUGAGGAAUAUUGGUCAAUGGGCGAGAGCCUGUAACCAGCCAAAUCGCGUGAAGGAUGAAGGUAUUAUGUAUUGUAAACUUCCUUUGUCAGGGAAUAAAGUGCGGGACGUGUCCCGUUUUGUAUGUACCUGAAGAAUAAGGAUCGGCUAACUCCGUGCCAGCAGCCGCGGUAAUACGGAGGAUCCAAGCGUUAUCCGGAUUUAUUGGGUUUAAAGGGUGCGUAGGCGGGCCUUUAAGACAGCGGUGAAAUCUCCCGGCUCAACCGGGGAAUUGCCGUUGAAACUAUUGGUCUUGAGUGUAGAUGAGGUGGGCGGAAUUCGUAGUGUAGCGGUGAAAUGCUUAGAUAUUACGAAGAACUCCAAUUGCGUAGGCAGCUCACUAGGCUACAACUGACGCUGAGGCACGAAGGUGCGGGGAUCAAACAGGAUUAGAUACCCUGGUAGUCCGCACAGUAAACGAUGAAUACUAACUGUUUGCGAUACACAGCAAGUGGUACAGUGAAAACGUUAAGUAUUCCACCUGGGGAGUACGCCGGCAACGGUGAAACUCAAAGGAAUUGACGGGGGCCCGCACAAGCGGAGGAACAUGUGGUUUAAUUCGAUGAUACGCGAGGAACCUUACCCGGGCUUGAAUUGCAUUUGAGUAGUGUGGAAACAUGCUAGCCAGCAAUGGCAAAUGUGAAGGUGCUGCAUGGUUGUCGUCAGCUCGUGCCGUGAGGUGUCGGCUUAAGUGCCAUAACGAGCGCAACCCUCAUCAUUAGUUACUAACAGGUCAUGCUGAGGACUCUAAUGAGACUGCCAGCGUAAGCUGUGAGGAAGGUGGGGAUGACGUCAAAUCAGCACGGCCCUUACGUCCGGGGCGACACACGUGUUACAAUGGGGGGGACAGCAGGCUGCCACUGGGUGACCAGGAGCCAAUCCCUAAACCCCCUCUCAGUUCGGAUCGAAGUCUGCAACCCGACUUCGUGAAGCUGGAUUCGCUAGUAAUCGCGCAUCAGCCAUGGCGCGGUGAAUACGUUCCCGGGCCUUGUACACACCACCAUCCAUAUGACUAG